UGUUGCCCCUUGCAGACUGUCUCCUGAGAUGCCACACUUCCUGGACACUGUUUCCAGGAGGACAUAAUUUAUGUCACAAACACCAACAUGGCUGUUUGUCUGUGAUAUCCCUUCUCUGUGGAGCAAAACAUAAGUUAUCUUAUAUGUGAUGAUGCACCAGCCCAUCUGCACCCCCUGUGUCAAAAAUCCUCAGUCCACCCAUGAAAAGCAUUUAAGAGUACAUCUAUAUUACACAAGGCAAAGAUGCCCCAAGCUGCCUGUCACUGUGCUAAUUCACAUCCUGGAGUUCCCCUGCUGUGAGGCAAUA